rnacentral:rRNA from 1 species
GAUGAACGCUAGCUGGAGGCUUAAUACAUGCAAGUCGAGCGGGAUUGGGUAGCAAUACCCAUGAGAGCGGCGCACGGGUGAGUAACGCGUACACGACCUACCUCUGACAGGGGGAUAGCCCUGGGAAACUGGGAUUAAUACCGCAUAUUAUUCUGAUUAAUAAAGGAUUGGAAUGAAAGUUCAGGCGGUCAGAGAUGGGUGUGCGUCUGAUUAGCUAGUUGGUGAGGUAACGGCUCACCAAGGCGAUGAUCAGUAGGGGGCGUGAGAGCGUGGUCCCCCACACGGGUACUGAGACACGGACCCGACUCCUACGGGAGGCAGCAGUAAGGAAUAUUGGACAAUGGCCGCAAGGCUGAUCCAGCCAUCCAGCGUGCGGGAAGAAGGCCCUAUGGGUUGUAAACUGCUUUUAUCAGGGAAGAAACCUGUGGAUUUACUCCGCAGCUGACGGUACCUGAAGAAUAAGCACCGGCUAACUCCGUGCCAGCAGCCGCGGUAAUACGGAGGGUGCGAGCGUUAUCCGGAAUUACUGGGUUUAAAGGGUGCGUAGGCGGCCAUGUAAGUCAGGAGUGAAAGUUUGCGGCUCAACCGUAAAAUUGCUUUUGAUACUGCAUGGCUGGAAUUAGGAUGAGGUCAGCGGAAUG